rnacentral:rRNA from 1 species
UACGUAGGGUGCAAGCGUUAAUCGGAAUUACUGGGCGUAAAGCGUGCGCAGGCGGUUUUGUAAGCCAGAUGUGAAAGCCCCGGGCUCAACCUGGGAAUGGCAUUUGGGACUGCAAGGCUUGAGUGCGGCAGAGGAGACUGGAAUUCCUGGUGUAGCAGUGAAAUGCGUAGAUAUCAGGAGGAAUACCGAUGGCGAAGGCAGGUCUCUGGGCUGACACUGACGCUCAUGCACG